AAGAAAAAGUCUGGUAGAGGAAUCUACUGGUAUUGCCAGAGGUUUGUUUGGCUUCUCGGAAAAUCAUUAGGGUUCCUCUGAGAAAAUGUCACAUGGGUAAGGUUUUAGGGUUUGGUAUCACCAUGACAUUCAGCCUCGGCGGGGGCUUGUUGAGGAGCGAUGGUUGAGCCAAUUCAGCCAAUGUGGAAAUUAAUAAUGUACACGUCUCAGUGACGACAAAAUAGCAAUAAUAGCUGGUGGACUCUUUGUUCACUCUCAACUGAAAAGUUGUCAACUCAGUAGAAAGUGAAAAGUUCAGACAAUGGCUUUUUGAGAGAAAGUUAUGCACGUGAUGUGAUGAAUUUAUGCAUGGAGUCGCAUGUCUCUUCUAUGCGUGAAAAGGCCAAACUACCGUUGGUAAGUACAUGUUUUCUAUUGUUUAUCAUUCUAAUUUCAUAUGAACCUGUCCAGAUUAACAUUUAUAUGACCAUCUUAACCUCUCCAGUGAUGGACUUUUAUGUAACAAAAACAAGUUUGUGGUAUAAAACAGAGGCACAAUUCAUUUGAAAAACAUAAUUGUUACCCAUAAUAGACAACAUGUGAGCAUGGUAAUCAUGUUCUGUCCUAUCUUAAUUAAUACAUGUGAUUUGUUGGCGACUACAAAUAUUGAGAUCCAACGUAACUCUACCUUAGCAAGAUUCUUCAUGAAAAAGAAUAAAAAAACUUUAGGCAAUGUACACAUGAUUCUAUAAUUUAUAUUAUACAAGUUGGAGGAGAAACUUACUAGCAAAUUAGUUGAAAAGCAAGUUAUAUUCUAACAUUAACAAUUCCAUCUUCUAGUCAAAUGUAAAGUACCACUGAAACACUACAACAUAAAAACAAAGCCAAGG